GUGAACGCUGGCGGUAGGCCUAACACAUGCCAGUCGAACGGCAGCACAGUAAGAGCUUGCUCUUACGGGUGGCGAGUGGCGGACGGGUGAGGAAUACAUCGGAAUCUACUUUUUCGUGGGGGAUAACGUAGGGAAACUUACGCUAAUACCGCAUACGACCUACGGGUGAAAGCAGGGGAUCUUCGGACCUUGCGCGAUUGCAUGAGCCGAUGUCGGAUUAGCUAGUUGGCGGGGUAAAGGCCCACCAAGGCGACGAUCCGUAGCUGGUCUGAGAGGAUGAUCAGCCACACUGGAGCUGAGACACGGUCCAGACUCCUACGGGAGGCAGCAGUGGGGAAUAUUGGACAAUGGGCGCAAGCCUGAUCCAGCCAUACCGCGUGGGUGAAGAAGGCCUUCGGGUUGUAAAGCCCUUUUGUUGGGAAAGAAAAGCAGCAGGUUAAUACCCCGCUGUUCUGACGGUACCCAAAGAAUAAGCACCGGCUAACUUCGUG
rnacentral:rRNA from 1 species